rnacentral:snoRNA from 1 species
AAGAUCAUACUUCACAGGAUCAUUUCUGUAGUGGUUGAGUGGAAGAUCUUAGGUCACUCUUAAAUUCCUACCGAAACCAUCCUACGGUGCAGUGGU